UACGAAGGGGGCUAGCGUUGUUCGGAAUUACUGGGCGUAAAGCGCGCGCAGGCGGUUCUCCAAGUCAGUGGUGAAAGCCCGGAGCUCAACUCCGGAACUGCCAUUGAAACUGUUGAACUUGAGGACGAGAGAGGUGAGUGGAAUUCCCAGUGUAGAGGUGAAAUUCGUAGAUAUUGGGAAGAACACCCGGUGGCGAAGGCGGUCU
rnacentral:rRNA from 1 species